rnacentral:rRNA from 1 species
GACGAGCCUCACAAACGUUAUUCGGAAUUACUGGGCUUAAAGGGUGCGUAGGCGGCGCGGAAAGUUGGGUGUGAAAUCCCUCGGCUCAACCGAGGAACUGCGCCCAAAACUACCGUGCUCGAGGAAGAUAGAGGUGAGCGGAACUUACGGUGGAGCGGUGAAAUGCGUUGAUAUCGUAAGGAACACCCGUGGCGAAAGCGGCUCACUGGGUCUUCUCUGACGCUGAGGCGCGAAAGCGUGGGGAGCAAACGGG